rnacentral:rRNA from 1 species
UACGUAGGGGGCAAGCGUUAUCCGGAUUUACUGGGUGUAAAGGGAGCGUAGACGGAAUUGCAAGUCUGAUGUGAAAAUCCGGGGCCCAACCCCGGAACUGCAUUGGAAACUGUAUUUCUAGAGUGCCGGAGAGGUAAGCGGAAUUCCUAGUGUAGCGGUGAAAUGCGUAGAUAUUAGGAGGAACACCAGUGGCGAAGGCGGCUUACUGGACGGCAACUGACGCUGAGGCUCGAAAGCGUGGGGAGCAAACAGG